rnacentral:rRNA from 1 species
UGGGGAUGACGUCAAGUCCUCAUGGCCUUUAUGACCAGGGCUACACACGUACUACAAUGGCCGAUACAAAGGGCAGCGACACUGCGAGGUGAAGCCAAUCCCGUAAAAAUCGGUCUCAGUCCGGAUUGGAGUCUGCAACUCGACUCCAUGAAGUUGGAAUCGCUAGUAAUCGUGGAUCAGCAUGCCACGGUGAAUACGUUCCCGGGCCUU